UAGGGAAUCUUCCACAAUGGGCGAAAGCCUGAUGGAGCAACGCCGCGUGUGUGAUGAAGGGUUUCGGCUCGUAAAACACUGUUGUAAGAGAAGAAUGACAUUGAGAGUAACUGUUCAUACGUUGACGGUAUUUAACCAGAAAGUCACGGCUAACUACGUGUCAG
rnacentral:rRNA from 1 species